rnacentral:rRNA from 1 species
GGCUCAGAAUCAACGCUGGCGGCGCGCCUAACACAUGCAAGUCGAACGAGAAAGCCGGAGCAAUCUGGUAAGUAAAGUGGCGUACGGGUGAGUAACACGUGGAUCAUCUGCCCUUUUGUGGGGAAUACCGCUGGGAAACCGGCGACAAUACCGCAUAAGCCCGAGAGGGGAAAGCAGCAAUGCGCAGAAGGAGGAGUCCGCGGUCGAUUAGUUAGUUGGCGGGGUAAAGGCCCACCAAGACUGUGAUCGAUAGCCGGCCUGAGAGGGCACACGGCCACACUGGCACUGAAACACGGGCCAGACUCCUACGGGAGGCAGCAGUGGGGAAUCUUGCACAAUGGGGGAAACCCUGAUGCAGCGACGCCGCGUGAGCGAUGAAGCCCCUCGGGGUGUAAAGCUCUUUCGGCAGGGAAGAUUAUGACGGUACCUGCAAAAGCAGCUGCGGCUAACUACGUGCCAGCAGCCGCGGUAAUACGUAGGCAGCAAGCGUUGUUCGGAGUUACUGGGCGUAAAGGGUGCGUAGGCGGCUUUUUAAGUUUGGUGUGAAAUCUCCCGGCUCAACUGGGAGGGUGCGCCGAAUACUGAGAGGCUAGAGUGUGGGAGAGGAAAGUGGAAUUCCUGGUGUAGCGGUGAAAUGCGUAGAUAUCAGGAGGAACACCGGUGGUGUAAACGGCUUUCUGGACCAUAACUGACGCUGAGGCACGAAAGCGUGGGUAGCAAACAGGAUUAGAUACCCUGGUAGUCCACGCCCUAAACGAUGCAUAUUUGGUGUGGGCCAUUCAUUUGGUCUGUGCCGGAGCUAACGCGUUAAAUAUGCCGCCUGGGGAGUACAGUCGCAAGGC